AGCCUGAACGCUGGCGGCGUGGCUAAGACAUGCAAGUCGCACGGACCCGCAAGGGUUAGUGGCGAACGGGUGAGUAAUGAAUCGCUAAUGUACCCCGGACUCUGGGAUAGCUAACCGAAAGGUUAGGUAAUACCAGAUGAUAUGCAGCUGUCGCGUGACAGUUGCCUCAAAGGUCCGCCGGUCUGGGAGCAGGCGAUUUCGUAUCAGUCUUGUUGGUGAGGUAAUGGCGUCACCAAGGCGACGACGCGUAGCCGGACUGAGAGGUUGGCCGGCCACGAUUGGGACUGAGACACUGCCCAGACUCCGUAACGGGGGCUGGACGACGUAACGAAUCUUCCGACAAU
rnacentral:rRNA from 1 species